rnacentral:autocatalytically_spliced_intron from 1 species
GUAUAGGCAGUAAAAAAACUGUCUAAUACUGCUUGAAUUGCUGGAAAACCCUAAAGCUGAUUUGACGACAACAUAAUAUCUACUUUAAAAUAAAUAUAAAGAUAUAAGUGUGAUCGUUGCGAAAGCGGAAAAAAUAAAUCAGAUGGCAUAAAAAAUAAAAAUGGUUAAAACCUAAGUGCUAAAAGAAAAUUUAUCAAAAGAACAAUGGGCAAUCAGCAGCCAAGACCGCAAGGUAAGGUUCAACGACUAUCCCUUUAGGGAGUACACCAAAGCUGGUGGAAGUGGGCAGACCCAAACAGGUAAAGCUGCGGGGUAAGAUAUAGUCUGUGCUUAAUAGAAAUAUUAAG